rnacentral:rRNA from 1 species
CCUACGGGAGGCAGCAGUGGGGAAUAUUGGACAAUGGGGGCAACCCUGAUCCAGCCAUGCCGCGUGUGUGAAGAAGGCCCUCGGGUUGUAAAGCACUUUCAGUGAGGAAGAACGCCUGGUGGUUAAUACCCAGCAGGAAAGACAUCACUCACAGAAGAAGCACCGGCUAACUCCGUGCCAGCAGCCGCGGUAAUACGGAGGGUGCGAGCGUUAAUCGGAAUUACUGGGCGUAAAGCGCGCGUAGGUGGCUUGAUAAGCCGGUUGUGAAAGCCCCGGGCUCAACCUGGGAACGGCAUCCGGAACUGUCAAGCUAGAGUGCAGGAGAGGAAGGUAGAAUUCCCGGUGUAGCGGUGAAAUGCGUAGAGAUCGGGAGGAAUACCAGUGGCGAAGGCGGCCUUCUGGACUGACACUGACACUGAGGUGCGAAAGCGUGGGUAGCAAACAGGAUUAGAUACCCUUGUAGUC